AAAAUAAAACUAUUCACAGUUCCAGACUUUAAUACUCGGUUGCCAACAGUAAAGAACUGGGAUCAGCUUCCUAUACAUUAGAUGUAGAGCAAUAUGUUUACAAAAUUAAAAGUCACAUGAAUUCUUAGUGUUGCAAAACGUUCCUCAACGGUCAGAGGCAAUGGUUGCAAAACUGCAAACUGGUGAGCCAUGGAUUAGCUAUAACUUGAAGAAAAACAGAUAGUGGACCCUCAGCACUGCUGGAAAAUGGUAUUUCAUCAUGAAAAAAUCUGUUACAUCCGAACUAUCACAGAGAAGGGAUUUAAUAAAUUAAUCUGUGUUCUGUCUCUUUUAUGUUCUUUCAGUUCUCAAACCUCCCUAUCCUCUGAAGCAUCUACCUCUGAUGUCAGCAGUGACACAAUGAGAAACUCCUGGGGCAUCUGGAAGCUAGCUGCGACACUGUGUUUCAAUAAUGUGGGGCAACAGACUUGGAGAAACAUUUCCUGAGUCUGGGUGGGGUUGAUCAUGGGCGUGGAUGUUUAGAGUUACAAAUUGCUAAGGAGGCUGAGCGAUUUUUAACUUAACGACUUUCUUUUCCGGCCACAUGGGUCUUCCUUGCUUUCCUCGGCCUUUCUCUAGUUCGUAGUGAGCAGGGGCUGCUCUUGGUGGGGUGCUCAGGCUUCUCACUGUGCUGGUUUCUCUUGUGGAGUUCAAGCACAGGCUCAGCAGUGGUGGCCCCGGUUCUUAGCUGCUCUGGGGCAUGUGGAACCUUCCAGCACCAGGGAAGAUUCCAAACCCUGUUCUCUGCAUUGGCAGGCAGAUUCUUAUCCACUGCGCCACCAGGGAAGUCCCUGAGUGAUUUUUGUUAAAUUAAUUUUCAAGUUUUUGCCAAGUCUUUUUUUUCUUUUUUCCUUUUCUUCGUUGUAACUUCUCUGUAUUAAAAUGUUUUACCUUUCCCAGGCGGAUGCCCAAGGUGGCAGAGCGUUGGUCCUAGGCUGAUGGCCCUGUCCAUCUCCCUGGGCAACCAGACGCCCUUCCCGAUCAAGCAGGUACCGCUGGGCUGGGAGGUGGUGGACGUGUGCUGUGAGGGCACCAACAUUUCUGGCAGUUCUGCAGAAUCAAGGUAAAAUCCAGAUCUUCCUCUGCAAGUGGAUGAACACCAAUCUGUCCGCAACCGCUGCCUCUUCUGAGCCGCAUCUUUUGGAGGGUGCGUGGCAGGCCUUCCCCAAAACCAAGUGAUGCCAGGACACCCUGAGCCCUCAAGGUUGGCAGCGACAGCCCCGCUGGAGGAGAAGUAGAAGGAGUGUAGGGUAAGAUCGGUUACAGGAAGGAAGAACAGCUCACGAGGCUACGGAAACAGGCUGAAAAGAACGUGGAGCAGAAAACUGACGAACACGCAGACGUCCUCAAGACUUUCAGGGUCCUGAUCUGAGCCUAAUAAAGACUAUUUAUUUCUCAAAUGUCUAAAAAAUAAAAGUUCCUUAAUUCACUCA